GGAACUCCAUGUGUAGCGGUGAAAUGCGUAGAUAUAUGGAAGAACACCAGUGGCGAAGGCGGCUGUCUGGUCUGUAACUGACGCUGAGGCUCGAAAGUAUGGGUAGCAAACAGGAUUAGAUACCCUGGUAGUCCAUACCGUAAACGAUGAAUGCUAAGUGUUGGAGGGUUUCCGCCCUUCAGUGCUGCAGCUAACGCAUUAAGCAUUCCGCCUGGGGAGUACGGCCGCAAGGCUGAAACUCAAAGGAAUUGACGGGGGCCCGCACAAGCGGUGGAGCAUGUGGUUUAAUUCGAAGCUACGCGAAGAACCUUACCAGGUCUUGACAUACUAUGCAAAUCUAAGAGAUUAGACGUUCCCUUCGGGGACAUGGAUACAGGUGGUGCAUGGUUGUCGUCAGCUCGUGUCGUGAGAUGUUGGGUUAAGUCCCGCAACGAGCGCAACCCUUAUUAUCAGUUGCCAGCAUUAAGUUGGGCACUCUGGUGAGACUGCCGGUGACAAACCGGAGGAAGGUGGGGAUGACGUCAAAUCAUCAUGCCCCUUAUGACCUGGGCUACACACGUGCUACAAUGGAUGGUACAACGAGUUGCGAACUCGCGAGAGUAAGCUAAUCUCUUAAAGCCAUUCUCAGUUCGGAUUGUAGGCUGCAACUCGCCUACAUGAAGUCGGAAUCGCUAGUAAUCGCGGAUCAGCAUGCCGCGGUGAAUACGUUCCCGGGCCUUGUACACACCGCCCGUCACACCAUGAGAGUUUGUAACACCCAAAGUCGGUGGGGUAACCUUUAGG
rnacentral:rRNA from 2 species